rnacentral:lncRNA from 1 species
GGGAACCUGCUUGGUUUAGCUUGAAUCAAGAUUAAUGUUUAUCAGUGAUAAAAACGUUAAAGAGCUACACAGCAGGCAGGCAGAAGGACCCUACAUCCAGCCUCCACUGCCAAUUAGUUCAGAAUAUCCUAGCGCAUAAGGCAAAAUACCAGGGACUGGGGGUCCUCAUCGGUAUUUUUUGCUUUGUCUGGGUUGGAGAGAUCGCUCAAGCAUUUGAAAUCGCUGGAAACUCUCGUGACAGAACCCAAGUUCAAUUCCCAGUACCUUUAUGGCAGCUCAGAGCAGUCUGCAACUCCAGUUCUAGGGGAUCUUUCUGGCUUCCCCUGGCAAAAGGCACGCUCUUUGUGCACAGACAUCCCUGCAAGCAAAACACCCACACACAUAAAAUAAAAGAAGCAUAUUUUAAGAACUUGAAA